rnacentral:rRNA from 1 species
GUGAGGAAUAUUGCGCAAUGGAGGCAACUCUGACGCAGCCAUGCCGCGUGCAGGAAGAAGGCGCUACGCGUUGUAAACUGCUUUUAACCGGGAAGAAACCCCAGGACGUGUCCUGGGUUGACGGUACCGGAGGAAUAAGCACCGGCUAACUUCGUGCCAGCAGCCGCGGUAAUACGAAGGGUGCAAGCGUUAUCCGGAUGCAUUGGGUUUAAAGGGUGCGUAGGCGGAGCGUUAAGUCAGUGGUGAAAUCCUGCAGCUUAACUGUAGACUUGCCAUUGAUACUGGCGCUCUUGAGUGCGCUUGAAGUGGGCGGAAUGUGCCGUGUAGCGGUGAAAUGCUUAGAUAUGGCACAGAACACCAAUUGCGAAGGCAGCUCACUAAGGCGAUACUGACGCUGAGGCACGAAAGCGUGGGGAUCGAACAGGAUUAGAUACCCCUGUAGUCC